ensembl:lncRNA
GUGUGUGUAUGUGGGGAGAGUGACAGUGUGUGUGUGUGUGUGGGGAGAGUAACAGUGUGUGUGUGUGUGUAUGUGGGGAGAGUAACAGUGUGUGUGUGUGUGUGUGGGGAGAGUAACAGUGUGUGUGUAUGUGGGGAGAGUAUCAGUGUGUGUGUGUGUGUGUGUGUAUGUGGGGAGAGUAACAGUGUGUGUGUGUUUGUGGGGAGAGUAACAGUGUGAAUGUGGGGAGAGUAACAGUGUGUGUGUGUGUAUGUGGGGAGAGUAACAGUGUGUGUGUGUGUAUGUGGGGAGAGUGACAGUGUGUGUGUGUGUGUGUGUGAGUGUGUGUGUGUGUGUGUGUGUGUGUAUGUGAGGAGAGUAACAGUGUGUGUAUGUGGGGAGAGUAACAGUGUGUGUGUAUGUGGGGAGAGUGACAGUGUGUGUGUGUGUGUGUGGGGGGAGAGUAACAGUGUGUGUGUGUGUAUGUGGGGAGAGUGACAGUGUGUGUGUGUAUGUGAGGAGAGUAACAGUGUGUGUGUAUGUGGGGAGAGUAACAGUGUGUGUGUAUGUGAGGAGAGUAACAGUGUGUGUGUAUGUGGGGAGAGUGACAGUGUGUGUGUGUGUGGGGAGAAUGACAGUGUGUUUGUGUGUGUGGGGGGAGACUAACAGUGUGUGUGUAUGUUGGGAGAGUGACAUUGUGUGCGUGUGUGUGGGGGGAGAGUAACAGUGUGUGUGUGUGUAUGGAGAGUAACAGUGUGUGUGUGUGUGGGGGGAGUAACAGUGUGUGUGUGUGUGUGUGUGGGGAGAGUGUAACAGUGUGUGUGUGUGUGGGGAGAGUAACAGUGUGUGUGUAUGUGGGGAGAGUAACAGUGUGUGUGUGUGUGUGGGGAGAGUAACAGUGUGUGUGUGUGUGUGUGUGUAUGUGGGGAGAGUGACAGUGUGUGUGUGUGUGUGUGUGUGUGUGUGUGGGGAGAGUAACAGUGUGUGUGUAUGUGGGGAGAGUAACAGUGUGUGUGUGUGUGGGGAGAGUAACAGUGUGUGUGUGUGUGUAUGUGGGGAGAGUAACAGUGUGUGUGUGUGUGGGGAGAGUAACAGUGUGUGUGUGUGUAUGUGGGGAGAGUGACAGUGUGUGUGUGUGUGUGUGUGUGUGUGUGGGAGAGUAACAGUGUGUGUGUAUGUGGGGAGAGUAACAGUGUGUGUGUAUGUGGGGAGAGUAAUUGUGUGUGUGUGUGUGUAUAGUGACAGUGUGUGUGUGUGUAUGUGGGGAGAGUAACAGUGUGUGUGUAUGUGGGGACAGUAACAGUGUGUGUG